rnacentral:rRNA from 1 species
UUAAUGAGAGUUUGAUCCUGGCUCAGGACGAACGCUGGCGGCGUGCCUAAUACAUGCAAGUAGAACGCUGAAGAGAGGAGCUUGCUCUUCUUGGAUGAGUUGCGAACGGGUGAGUAACGCGUAGGUAACCUGCCUUGUAGCGGGGGAUAACUAUUGGAAACGAUAGCUAAUACCGCAUAACAAUGGAUGACACAUGUCAUUUAUUUGAAAGGGGCAAUUGCUCCACUACAAGAUGGACCUGCGUUGUAUUAGCUAGUAGGUGAGGUAAUGGCUCACCUAGGCGACGAUACAUAGCCGACCUGAGAGGGUGAUCGGCCACACUGGGACUGAGACACGGCCCAGACUCCUACGGGAGGCAGCAGUAGGGAAUCUUCGGCAAUGGGGGCAACCCUGACCGAGCAACGCCGCGUGAGUGAAGAAGGUUUUCGGAUCGUAAAGCUCUGUUGUAAGUCAAGAACGGGUGUGAGAGUGGAAAGUUCACACUGUGACGGUAGCUUACCAGAAAGGGACGGCUAACUACGUGCCAGCAGCCGCGGUAAUACGUAGGUCCCGAGCGUUGUCCGGAUUUAUUGGGCGUAAAGCGAGCGCAGGCGGUUUGAUAAGUCUGAAGUUAAAGGCUGUGGCUCAACCAUAGUUCGCUUUGGAAACUGUCAAACUUGAGUGCAGAAGGGGAGAGUGGAAUUCCAUGUGUAGCGGUGAAAUGCGUAGAUAUAUGGAGGAACACCGGUGGCGAAAGCGGCUCUCUGGUCUGUAACUGACGCUGAGGCUCGAAAGCGUGGUGAGCGAACAGGAUUAGAUACCCUGGUAGUCCACGCCGUAAACGAUGAGUGCUAGGUGUUGGAUCCUUUCCGGGAUUCAGUGCCGCAGCUAACGCAUUAAGCACUCCGCCUGGGGAGUACGACCGCAAGGUUGAAACUCAAAGGAAUUGACGGGGGCCCGCACAAGCGGUGGAGCAUGUGGUUUAAUUCGAAGCAACGCGAAGAACCUUACCAGGUCUUGACAUCCCGAUGCUAUUUCUAGAGAUAGAAAGUUACUUCGGUACAUCGGUGACAGGUGGUGCAUGGUUGUCGUCAGCUCGUGUCGUGAGAUGUUGGGUUAAGUCCCGCAACGAGCGCAACCCCUAUUGUUAGUUGCCAUCAUUCAGUUGGGCACUCUAGCGAGACUGCCGGUAAUAAACCGGAGGAAGGUGGGGAUGACGUCAAAUCAUCAUGCCCCUUAUGACCUGGGCUACACACGUGCUACAAUGGUUGGUACAACGAGUUGCGAGUCGGUGACGGCGAGCUAAUCUCUUAAAGCCAAUCUCAGUUCGGAUUGUAGGCUGCAACUCGCCUACAUGAAGUCGGAAUCGCUAGUAAUCGCGGAUCAGCACGCCGCGGUGAAUACGUUCCCGGGCCUUGUACACACCGCCCGUCACACCACGAGAGUUUGUAACACCCGAAGUCGGUGAGGUAACCUUUUGGAGCCAGCCGCCUAAGGUGGGACAGAUGAUUGGGGUGAAGUCGUAACAAGGUAGCCGUAUCGGAAGGUGCGGCUGGAUCACCUCCUUUCUAAGGAA